rnacentral:rRNA from 1 species
UACGAAGGGGGCUAGCGUUGCUCGGAAUUACUGGGCGUAAAGGGCGCGUAGGCGGCCGCCUAAGUCAGACGUGAAAUCCCUCGGCUCAACCGGGGAACUGCGUCUGAUACUGGGUGGCUUGAAUCCGGGAGAGGGAUGCAGAAUUCCAGGUGUAGCGGUGAAAUGCGUAGAUAUCUGGAGGAAUACCGGUGGCGAAGGCGGCAUCCUGGACCGACAUUGACGCUGAACGGCGAAAGCUAGGGGAGCAAACGGG